GAAGAAAUGAGGUUCGACAUGUCGCUUAAAGACUUUGGGAAUAGAAAGGUCGGAUGGGCGAGAGCUGAGGCAAUCUUUGUUGGCGAUGAAGUUCCUGCCGGGAAUCUUAAUGGUGGGAUCAAUGUUAUAACCAGCUCCUCUGAAGUUCCUGCAAAACCAAAGACUCCAAGUAAACCGGUGAACAUCAGCUAUAGCAUCAAAUACACACCAUUCAAUGUAUCAACAGAUGGAAAUGGGUUUUCUAUCUCUGCUGAAGGAGUUUACAAAGCUGAAACAGGAUACCUCUGUAUGGUUGGCUGCAAGUAUGCUUCUUCUUCUUCUUCUAAUGAUUUUUCUAGGAACAUAACUGAAGAACUAGCCGACCUUGAUUCAAAGGAUUGUGAAAUACUUAUCAAGAUCGAGUUCCCCUCGGUAGAUUCAAAGGAAUACAU
rnacentral:lncRNA from 1 species